rnacentral:rRNA from 1 species
CUAGUGACCGAUAGUGAACCAGUACCGUGAGGGAAAGGUGAAAAGCACCCCGGAAGGGGAGUGAAAUAGAACCUGAAACCGUGUGCUUACAAGUAGUCAGAGCCCGUUAAUGGGUGAUGGCGUGCCUUUUGUAGAAUGAACCGGCGAGUUACGAUUUGAUGCAAGGUUAAGCAGUAAAUGUGGAGCCGUAGCGAAAGCGAGUCUGAAUAGGGCGUUUAGUAUUUGGUCGUAGACCCGAAACCAGGUGAUCUACCCUUGGUCAGGUUGAAGUUCAGGUAACACUGAAUGGAGGACCGAACCGACUUACGUUGAAAAGUGAGCGGAUGAACUGAGGGUAGCGGAGAAAUUCCAAUCGAACCUGGAGAUAGCUGGUUCUCUCCGAAAUAGCUUUAGGGCUAGCCUCAAGUGAUGAUUAUUGGAGGUAGAGCACUGUUUGGACGAGGGGCCCCUCUCGGGUUACCGAAUUCAGACAAACUCCGAAUGCCAAUUAAUUUAACUUGGGAGUCAGAACAUGGGUGAUAAGGUCCGUGUUCGAAAGGGAAACAGCCCAGACCACCAGCUAAGGUCCCAAAAUAUAUGUUAAGUGGAAAAGGAUGUGGCGUUGCCCAGACAACUAGGAUGUUGGCUUAGAAGCAGCCAUCAUUUAAAGAGUGCGUAAUAGCUCACUAGUCGAGUGACACUGCGCCGAAAAUGUACCGGGGCUAAACAUAUUACCGAAGCUGUGGAUUGUCCUUUGGACAAUGGUAGGAGAGCGUUCUAAGGGCGUUGAAGCAUGAUCGUAAGGACAUGUGGAGCGCUUAGAAGUGAGAAUGCCGGUGUGAGUAGCGAAAGACGGGUGAGAAUCCCGUCCACCGAUUGACUAAGGUUUCCAGAGGAAGGCUCGUCCGCUCUGGGUUAGUCGGGUCCUAAGCUGAGGCCGACAGGCGUAGGCGAUGGAUAACAGGUUGAUAUUCCUGUACCACCUAUAAUCGUUUUAAUCGAUGGGGGGACGCAGUAGGAUAGGCGAAGCGUGCGAUUGGAUUGCACGUCUAAGCAGUAAGGCUGAGUAUUAGGCAAAUCCGGUACUCGUUAAGGCUGAGCUGUGAUGGGGAGAAGACAUUGUGUCUUCGAGUCGUUGAUUUCACACUGCCGAGAAAAGCCUCUAGAUAGAAAAUAGGUGCCCGUACCGCAAACCGACACAGGUAGUCAAGAUGAGAAUUCUAAGGUGAGCGAGCGAACUCUCGUUAAGGAACUCGGCAAAAUGACCCCGUAACUUCGGGAGAAGGGGUGCUCUUUAGGGUUAACGCCCAGAAGAGCCGCAGUGAAUAGGCCCAAGCGACUGUUUAUCAAAAACACAGGUCUCUGCUAAACCGUAAGGUGAUGUAUAGGGGCUGACGCCUGCCCGGUGCUGGAAGGUUAAGAGGAGUGGUUAGCUUCUGCGAAGCUACGAAUCGAAGCCCCAGUAAACGGCGGCCGUAACUAUAACGGUCCUAAGGUAGCGAAAUUCCUUGUCGGGUAAGUUCCGACCCGCACGAAAGGCGUAACGAUUUGGGCACUGUCUCAACGAGAGACUCGGUGAAAUCAUAGUACCUGUGAAGAUGCAGGUUACCCGCGACAGGACGGAAAGACCCCGUGGAGCUUUACUGUAGCCUGAUAUUGAAAUUCGGCACAGCUUGUACAGGAUAGGUAGGAGCCUUUGAAACGUGAGCGCUAGCUUACGUGGAGGCGCUGGUGGGAUACUACCCUAGCUGUGUUGGCUUUCUAACCCGCACCACUUAUCGUGGUGGGAGACAGUGUCAGGCGGGCAGUUUGACUGGGGCGGUCGCCUCCUAAAAGGUAACGGAGGCGCUCAAAGGUUCCCUCAGAAUGGUUGGAAAUCAUUCAUAGAGUGUAAAGGCAUAAGGGAGCUUGACUGCGAGACCUACAAGUCGAGCAGGGUCGAAAGACGGACUUAGUGAUCCGGUGGUUCCGCAUGGAAGGGCCAUCGCUCAACGGAUAAAAGCUACCCCGGGGAUAACAGGCUUAUCUCCCCCAAGAGUUCACAUCGACGGGGAGGUUUGGCACCUCGAUGUCGGCUCAUCGCAUCCUGGGGCUGUAGUCGGUCCCAAGGGUUGGGCUGUUCGCCCAUUAAAGCGGUACGCGAGCUGGGUUCAGAACGUCGUGAGACAGUUCGGUCCCUAUCCGUCGUGGGCGUAGGAAAUUUGAGAGGAGCUGUCCUUAGUACGAGAGGACCGGGAUGGACAUACCUCUGGUGUACCAGUUGUCGUGCCAACGGCAUAGCUGGGUAGCUAUGUGUGGACGGGAUAAGUGCUGAAAGCAUCUAAGCAUGAAGCCCCCCUCAAGAUGAGAUUUCCCAACUUCGGUUAUAAGAUCCCUCAAAGAUGAUGAGGUUAAUAGGUUCGAGGUGGAAGCAUGGUGACAUGUGGAGCUGACGAAUACUAAUCGAUCGAAGACUUAAUCAAAA